UACGUAGGGUGCAAGCGUUAUCCGGAAUUAUUGGGCGUAAAGAGCUCGUAGGCGGUUUGUCGCGUCUGCUGUGAAAACUGGAGGCUCAACCUCCAGCCUGCAGUGGGUACGGGCAGACUAGAGUGCGGUAGGGGAGAUUGGAAUUCCUGGUGUAGCGGUGGAAUGCGCAGAUAUCAGGAGGAACACCAAUGGCGAAGGCAGAUCUCUGGCCGUAACUGACGCUGAGGAGCGAAAGCAUGGGGAGCGAACAGG
rnacentral:rRNA from 1 species